rnacentral:rRNA from 1 species
GUCCACGCAGUAACGAUGAAUACUAGCCGUUCGCGAUAUACAGUGAGUGGCACAGCGAAGCGUUAAGUAUUCCACCUGGGAGUACGUUCGCAAGAAUUAACUCAAAGGAAUUGACGGGCCCGCACAAGCGGAGGAACAUGUGGUUUAAUUCGAUGAUACGCGAGGAACCUUACCCGGGCUUGAAAUGCAUCUGACCGGCUUGGAAACAGGCCUUCUAGCAAUAGCAGAUGUGUAGUGCUGCAUGGUUGUCGU